rnacentral:rRNA from 1 species
UACGUAGGGGGCAAGCGUUGUCCGGAAUCAUUGGGCGUAAAGCGCGUGUAGGCGGCUUGAUAAGUCUGCUCUGAAAGCCCGGGGCUCAACCCUGGGAGGCGGGUGGAUACUGUCGAGCUCGAGUCCGGAAGAGGCGAGUGGAAUUCCUGGUGUAGCGGUGAAAUGCGCAGAUAUCAGGAGGAACACCAAUGGCGAAGGCAGCUCGCUGGGACGGUACUGACGCUGAGGAGCGAAAGCAUGGGGAGCGAACAGG